GACGAACGCUGGCGGCGUGCUUAACACAUGCAAGUCGAACGAUGAAGCAGAGAAAUGCGACCUUCGGUUCAAAUUUCACUUCGGAUUAGUGGCAGACGGGUGAGUAACGCGUGAGCAACCUACCUCUUACAAAGGGAUAGCCUCGGGAAACCGUGAUUAAUACCAUAUGACACAUUCAUAAGGCAUCUUAAGAAUGUUAAAGCUACGGCGGUAAGAGAUGGGCUCGCGUCCCAUUAGCUAGUUGGUGAGGUAACGGCCCACCAAGGCGACGAUGGGUAACCGGCCUGAGAGGGUGAACGGUCACAUUGGAACUGAGACACGGUCCAAACUCCUACGGGAGGCAGCAGUGGGGAAUAUUGCACAAUGGAGGGAACUCUGAUGCAGCGACGCCGCGUGAGCGAUGAAGGAAUUCGUUUCGUAAAGCUCUGUUCUAUGGGAAGAAAAGGACUGUACCAUAGGAGAAAGCCCCGGCUAAAUACGUG
rnacentral:rRNA from 1 species